rnacentral:rRNA from 1 species
UACGUAGGGGGCAAGCGUUGCCCGGAUUUAUUGGGCGUAAAGAGCGUGUAGGCGGCUUUACAGGUCCGUUGUGAAAACUCGAGGCUCAACCUCGAGACGCCGGUGGAAACCGUAAAGCUAGAGUCCGGAAGAGGAGAGUGGAAUUCCUGGUGUAGCGGUGAAAUGCGCAGAUAUCAGGAGGAACACCGGUGGCGAAGGCGGGUCUCUGGGCCGAUACUGACGCUGAGGAGCGAAAGCGUGGGGAGCGAACAGG